rnacentral:rRNA from 1 species
GACGAACGCUGGCGGCGCGCCUAACACAUGCAAGUCGAACGGAGCUGAGAGAAGCUUGCUUUUCUUAGCUUAGUGGCGAACGGGUGAGUAACGCGUGAGUAACCUGCCCUGGAGUGGGGGACAACAGUUGGAAACGACUGCUAAUACCGCAUAAGCCCACGAUCCGGCAUCGGAUUGAGGGAAAAGGAUUUAUUCGCUUCAGGGUGGACUCGCGUCCAAUUAGCUAGUUGGUGAGGUAACGGCCCACCAAGGCGACGAUUGGUAGCCGGACUGAGAGGUUGAACGGCCACAUUGGGACUGAGACACGGCCCAGACUCCUACGGGAGGCAGCAGUGGGGGAUAUUGCACAAUGGGGGAAACCCUGAUGCAGCGACGCCGCGUGGAGGAAGAAGGUUUUCGGAUUGUAAACUCCUGUCGUUAGGGACGAUAAUGACGGUACCUAACAAGAAAGCACCGGCUAACUACGUG